rnacentral:lncRNA from 10 species
UGGCUUGCUGCUUUGAAAAAAAAGAAAAUAUUUUCUUUGAUCUUGGAAAGUUGGGUCCUAUACUUUGGUAAACGAAAAUGGAUUGGAGAGAAAGAAGUCUGAGCAUUUCCUAUUCAUCCAAGUAAUUAUGAAACUCAAAAAUAUACCAACUGACAACUGAAAGGAAGCUUGAUGUCAUAAUUCACAACCAUGCUUCGCAUCAUUAAAUCCCAUUCUUCUCAUCUGCUCAUCCAUUUGUUAUCUGACCAGGUAUCAUGUUGGGCAACCUGGUUUCCAAAAAAAAGAACAAGAAAGAAAAAACUAGAAGGAAGAAAAUGGAAAACCAUUCUCACUGGAAUCUAAAGCGACUAAAUUAUUUUUAUCUGAAGAUUAAUGAAGAGGACACUAACUUGGUACAGGUAGUUUAGCUGCAAAUGACAAGAGAGGUUUCUCAUCUUUGAGGGAGCAGGGUUUUCAAGUUAACAUCAGAAAAUCUUGUCUUCUACUCUGUUCUUCCAUUGACUUGUUUGAUCUUGAGAGAAUAACUUAUUCUCUAUGGGCCUCAGUUUUCUAAACUACAAAAUAAAGGGAGCACAUAAUUUCUAAAGUCUUUCUGCUCUCAAAUUCAGUGGGUUUUUUUAAUAAUUUAUUAUAUACUAGUUGCUGAGAGUAUGUAAAGAUGAGUCCAAUGUUGUUUGUUUGCCCCAGGAUCCCCUCACCAUCUUCCAAGGGAGAUGUAUCAGAUAUACAUAAAUAUGUGACCUUUAUUUUGGUGUGAGCAUAUCUUUAAAUAUGAAUAAAUAGUUACCAAGGGACACGACUGGCUUAGAUUCAUUCUGUUAAUUUUUUUUUUUUUUUUUGCCCUUUUAGGAAGCACUGAGAAGGGUUGUGGUAAAUGACAAGUGUGCUACUUCUUUAAAACAGAAAUGUAUAGCCACUUGUUAUCACCAUGGUUAUUGAUUGGCCAUUUGUUUGGAAAAUGAUGAGAAAGAUUGCCUGUGAGUGGAUGAGAAACAAGUGAUAACAUCCUUUUAACAUUUUAAAGAAAGGGACCCUGAAGCAGCGUAGAAGAACUCUGAAUGUGCAGUCACUUUCCUAAGGGGUAUACUUUAUUGGAUUAAAUAAGUUAAUGACUCUCAUCUCCUGCUUCCAUAAAUAUAAGCAUCAUAGAAAAAAAUUUGUUUCAUGAGUAAUACCAGAAAUAUUU